GGCGAGAUAGCCAAGCGGUCUAAGGCGCUAGACUAAGGCAGUGGGAUUCGAACCCACAUAUACAUGCCAUCUAGUUCUUCGGAGCGUGGGUUCGAAUCCCACUCUCGUCA